CGAUGCAACGCGAAGAACCUUACCUGGUCUUGACAUCCCGGAGACCCUUAGGAAACUAGGGGUGCUUCCAUCUGGAAGAAUCUGGAGACAGGUGCUGCAUGGCUGUCGUCAGCUCGUGUCGUGAGAUGUUGGGUUAAGUCCCGCAACGAGCGCAACCCUUGCCUUUAGUUGCCAGCAGUUCGGCUGGGCACUCUAAAGGGACUGCCGGUGUUAAACCGGAGGAAGGUGGGGAUGACGUCAAGUCCUCAUGGCCUUUAUGACCAGGGCUACACACGUACUACAAUGGCCGAUACAAAGGGCAGCGACACUGCGAGGUGAAGCCAAUCCCGUAAAAUCGGUCUCAGUCCGGAUUGGAGUCUGCAACUCGACUCCAUGAAGUUGGAAUCGCUAGUAAUCGUGGGUCAGCAUGCCACGGUGAAUACGUUCCCGGGCCUU
rnacentral:rRNA from 1 species